CCUUGAGUUGGUCAAAUGCAUCCUGUGCCUCCUCAGUCCACUCGAACCUGUCGGAUUUGUUCCAUAGUCGGUAGAGAGGCAAGGCCUUUUCUCCGAGUCAUGAGAUAAACCUACUAAGAGUCGCGAGCCAGCCCGUGAGCCUUUGCACAUCGUGAAUGCUGUUCGGUCAUCUCAUCUGGACGAUGGCUCCGAACUUGUCGGGAUUAGCAUCGAUCCCUCCCUCCAAAACAAAAAAAC
rnacentral:lncRNA from 1 species